rnacentral:rRNA from 2 species
AGAGCACUGUUUGGACGAGGGGCCCCUCUAGGGUUACCGAAUUCAGACAAACUCCGAAUGCCAAAUAAUUCAACUUGGGAGUUAGACUAUGGGUGAUAAGGUCCAUAGUCGAAAGGGAAACAGCCCAGACCACCAGCUAAGGUCCCAAAAUAUAUGUUAAGUGGAAAAGGAUGUGGCGUUGCCCAGACAACUAGGAUGUUGGCUCAGAAGCAGCCAUCAUUUAAAGAGUGCGUAAUAGCUCACUAGUCGAGUGACACUGCGCCGAAAAUGUACCGGGGCUAAACAUAUUACCGAAGCUGUGGAUUAUCCGUAAGGAUAGUGGUAGGAGAGCGUUCUAAACGUGUCGAAGCAUGAUCGUAAGGACAUGUGGAAUGUUUAGAAGUGAGAAUGCCGGUGUGAGUAGCGAAAGAUGGGUGAGAAUCCCAUCCACCGAUUGACUAAGGUUUCCAGAGGAAGGCUCGUCCGCUCUGGGUUAGUCGGGACCUAAGCCGAGGCCGAUAGGCGUAGGCGAUGGAUAACAGGUAGAUAUUCCUGUACCACCUAUGAUUGUUUGAACGAUGGGGGGACGCAGUAGGAUAGGCGAAGCGUGCUGUUGGAGUGCACGUCCAAGCAACAAGACUGAGUGUUAGGCAAAUCCGGCACUCGUAAGGUUGAGUUGUGAUGGGGAGCUGGAUCAUGUAUCCGGCGAGUCGUUGAUUUCACACUGCCAAGAAAAGCCUCUAGUUAGAAAAUAGGUGCCCGUACCGCAAACCGACACAGGUAGUCAAGAUGAGAAUUCUAAGGUGAGCGAGCGAACUCUCGUUAAGGAACUCGGCAAAAUGACCCCGUAACUUCGGGAGAAGGGGUGCUUUUUAGGGUGCAAGCCUUGAAGAGCCGCAGUGAAUAGGCCCAAGCGACUGUUUAUCAAAAACACAGGUCUCUGCUAAACCGUAAGGUGAUGUAUAGGGGCUGACGCCUGCCCGGUGCUGGAAGGUUAAGAGGAGUGGUUAGCUUCUGCGAAGCUACGAAUCGAAGCCCCAGUAAACGGCGGCCGUAACUAUAACGGUCCUAAGGUAGCGAAAUUCCUUGUCGGGUAAGUUCCGACCCGCACGAAAGGCGUAACGAUUUGGGCACUGUCUCAACGAGAGACUCGGUGAAAUCAUAGUACCUGUGAAGAUGCAGGUUACCCGCGACAGGACGGAAAGACCCCGUGGAGCUUUACUGUAGCCUGAUAUUGAAAUUUGGCACAGCUUGUACAGGAUAGGUAGGAGCCUUAGAAGCGUGAGCGCUAGCUUACGUGGAGGCGCUUGUGGGAUACUACCCUGGCUGUGUUGACUUUCUAACCCGCACCAUUUGAUCAUGGUGGGAGACAGUGUCAGGCGGGCAGUUUGACUGGGGCGGUCGCCUCCUAAAGAGUAACGGAGGCGCUCAAAGGUUCCCUCAGAAUGGUUGGAAAUCAUUCGCAGAGUGUAAAGGCACAAGGGAGCUUGACUGCGAGACUUACAAGUCGAGCAGGGUCGAAAGACGGACUUAGUGAUCCGGUGGUUCCGCAUGGAAGGGCCAUCGCUCAACGGAUAAAAGCUACCCCGGGGAUAACAGGCUUAUCUCCCCCAAGAGUUCACAUCGACGGGGAGGUUUGGCACCUCGAUGUCGGCUCAUCGCAUCCUGGGGCUGUAGUCGGUCCCAAGGGUUGGGCUGUUCGCCCAUUAAAGCGGUACGCGAGCUGGGUUCAGAACGUCGUGAGACAGUUCGGUCCCUAUCCGUCGUGGGCGUAGGAAAUUUGAGAGGAGCUGUCCUUAGUACGAGAGGACCGGGAUGGACAUACCUCUGGUGUACCAGUUGUCGCGCCAGCGGCAUAGCUGGGUAGCUAUGUAUGGACGGGAUAAGUGCUGAAAGCAUCUAAGCAUGAAGCCCCCCUCAAGAUGAGAUUUCCCAACUUCGGUUAUAAGAUCCCUCAAAGAUGAUGAGGUUAAUAGGUUCGGGGUGUAAGCGCAGUAAUGUGUGUAGCUGACGAAUACUAAUCGAUCGAAGACUUAAUCAAAA